CCCAGGUGUGGCAGUACACAAUUAUUUCAGGAGUUGGAAGGUGGGGCGGACUCCCUAUGUGGCAUGGCUGUUUGAGAUGACCAGUGGCACAAGUCUGCUGUAGCCAACAAGCCCCAUUGCCCAUGGGCCCAUAAACUCUACCAAUACAGUUCUGCCCUGUGUGCAUGCCCUUCCCCACCGAAGCACACCCACCCGCCCCACUGCUGAGAUCCAACACGGUCCACCUAGCAGGCCCAGAAGUUGCCUGUGGACUUGCUGUCCAUCACCUGCUGGCAGGACACCAAGGGGAAAAAAAAAGUGAUAUGAUUAGGAAGGAUACCAUCAACUCAGGCAAAGACACCAGAGAUUAUCGAGUCACAAAAUCUCCCUUGGUUCAGCCUUCAGGUGGAGAUUUUCCUUUGCUGAACUUGCAGGGCUCAUGUCCAUGAGAGAAAGACCCACAAGAGGAACACUGAGGUUUACUCCUCUCACUCACUUAAUGGCGGUCCCUUCUGCAUGUUGUGCAGAUGCAUUGUUUCAUCAUGGCCGUGCUUAUGGGCAAGAGAUGCAAGGAGAGAGAACUGAUGAUUAAC
rnacentral:lncRNA from 1 species